CCAAAACUUGCAGCUCCGCGUCGCUGGUGACUUCUCCUGCUGCUGCUCUUUAUGUUUUCCUCCAACAAGAGUCCGAAUGAGACUAUCCGGUACUUUUCGACCCAGUUUUGUCUCUAUAUCCUUCAACUCGGGAAGAACGUUGCUUUCCUCCUCCAUUGUGUGUUGUCGGGAAGAUUACACGUUCUGUGUGGAUGAUUUGAAGCUGGCAGUUGAGCAAAUUAUACAGCGCGAGCUCGGAGAUAUACUCCCGGUGAUUGGUUGAGUAGAGGCGCGCGAGCUGUAUCCGAAGAGGAGCGGAAAGUUGCAAGAAGCGCGUGCCGCCUGUAACUUUAUUCAAGCAACGCACAGAAUAAAGUGUCGGGCCAGAAACACUCAACGCUGUUACACCGACAGACCUCCCAUUCAAGAGUCCCGACCAGUGGUGAGACACUUUAACGAGAACGUGCUCUUUGGACCCUCCCAUUGAUGAAACCGGACACCAGACAGAUGGUUCCCAGGGUGUCAUAGUCCUCUACGCUCUCACAGACCACCCUCCACUGGGAGAAAAUGGAGUUGGCACUAAGGGAAUUCAUGUCGAAGCUGCUCCUGGCUCCCAUCAGGUCAUCUGUGCAGAUGUCACAUGUGUCUCCACCGAUGGCAAAGUUCCAGUAGGGAAGGGCGAAUGAUGGGUUCUGCAGCAUCUCCUGGUGUACUCACCAACAGAAACCCUCUGAUCACAGUUGAAUCCCGUCCAGCCGUGUCUGCAUUGGCCGCAGUCAAACCCACCGAAGUUGUUGUUACACUGACAGGUCCGGUUGAAGAAACGGAUGGGCCAUAGUUCCCGAUCGUCCUGUCCAUCAUGCGGGUACUGCGGGCCGUGCGGGCUCGCAUCCACGGAGAUGAACACGCACUGUCCUCGCCCGGUGCUGACGCUGCACGGGUCGUUGUUGAGUCCAUUGGGCGAUGGGCAGCACGUUCCGCUCCUGAGUGCUUCGGGUGUCACACACUCGCGAGGGAACUGGGCGCUCACCACCGCCGCGCCCACAAGAACCAAAAAGCAGCACCGGAACAUUAUCCAAACUUUUACGCACGACCGAGUCACUUUGACCUACUGUUUAUACACCUCAACUACCUCUUAAACCAAAAGUAUCACUCAACACAUUAAAUAUCACUUUCUCCUUCCACUAGUUAUGAGAACAACUUCCACUCCACUGUGUCCAGACCCCUGCUUCUAUUUCCCCCGAACCAGUGGAGCGUCGUUCUUAAAUACCGGAUUAGCGCAUGACUAGGCUACCCGGAUUUUCUGACUCCCGCGUGAUGCCAUCACAUAACAUCAUAUUUCCUACUGGGGAUAGAAAGAGAGAGAGAGAGAGAGGGUAUUGGGAUCCGUCAUGCACUGCAUUUUUAUUCCAAAAAAAUCCAUUUGACUUUGUAGUCCAACAUUACAUUUGAGGAAGUGUGAAACAUUUCUAAAUUCUGUCACAUUAGAAUACAAACUGUGAUAAAUGGGCAGGUCUUUCUAUAGACUUGAACGCAUGUGGACUGUAGCUGUUCAGUCAGCCCUUUAUGUUGAAAAACUGACGUUAUGGAGUUAUAGACUCAUACAAAUGUAGGCCCUGGUUCUCAAAUUAUAGAGCAAAAAUAAAUAUUGUUCCCACUGCAAUCAAUCUCAGAAAUAAAAUUAUGAAAUAAA